AAUCUUCCAAAAUGGACGAAAGUCUGAUGGAGCAACGCCGCGUGAGUGAAGAAGGAUAUAGGAACGUACAGCUCUGUUGUAAGAGAAAAACAAGUACAGGAGUAACUGUCUGUACCUUGACGGUACCUUACCAGAAAGCCACGGCUAACUACGUGCCAGCAGCCGCGGUAAUACGUAGGUGGCAAGCGUUGUCCGGAAUUAUUGGGCGUAAAGCGCGCGCAGGCGGUCCUUUAAGUCUGAUGUGAAAGCCCACGGCUCAACCGUGGAGGGUCAUUGGAAACUGGAGGACUUGAGUACAGAAGAGGAAAGCGGAAUUCCACGUGUAGCGGUGAAAUGCGUAGAGAUGUGGAGGAACACCAGUGGCGAAGGCGGCUUUCUGGUCUGUAACUGACGCUGAGGCGCGAAAGCGUGGGGAGCAAACA
rnacentral:rRNA from 1 species